AUUGAACGCUGGCGGCAGGCCUAACACAUGCAAGUCGAGCGGAUGAAGGGAGCUUGCUCCUGGAUUCAGCGGCGGACGGGUGAGUAAUGCCUAGGAAUCUGCCUGGUAUUGGGGGAUAACGUCCGUAAACGGGCGCUAAUACCGCAUACGUCCUGAUGUAGAACGUGGGGGAUCUUCGGACCUCACGCUAUCAGAUGAGCCUAGGUCGGAUUAGCUAGUUGGUGGGGUAAAGGCCUACCAAGGCGACGAUCCGUAACUGGUCUGAGAGGAUGAUCAGUCACACUGGAACUGAGACACGGUCCAGACUCCUACGGGAGGCAGCAGUGGGGAAUAUUGGACAAUGGGCGAAAGCCUGAUCCAGCAAUGCCGCGUGUGUGAAGAAGGUCUUCGGAUUGUAAAGCACUUUAAGUUGGGAGGAAGGGCAGUAAGUUAAAACCUUGCUGUUUUGACGUUACCAAAAGAAUAAGCACCGGCUAACUUCGUG
rnacentral:rRNA from 1 species